CCUACGGGCGGCUGCAGUGGGGAAUUUUGGACAAUGGGGGCAACCCUGAUCCAGCCAUGCCGCGUGAGUGAAGAAGGCCUUCGGGUUGUAAAGCUCUUUCGGCCGGGAAGAAAUCGCUCAAGCUAAUACAUUGGGUGGAUGACGGUACCGGCAGAAGAAGCACCGGCUAACUACGUGCCAGCAGCCGCGGUAAUACGUAGGGUGCGAGCGUUAAUCGGGCGUACUGGGCGGACGGCGUAAGAAAGCGGCGAAAUCCCCGGGCUUAACCUGGGAACUGCGGUUGUGACUGUGGUGCUCGAGUGCGGCAGAGGGGGGUGGAAUUCCACGUGUAGCAGUGAAAUGCGUAGAGAUGUGGAGGAACACCGAUGGCGAAGGCAGCCCCCUGGGUCGACACUGACGCUCAUGCACGAAAGCGUGGGGAGCAAACAGGAUUAGAUACCCGAGUAGUC
rnacentral:rRNA from 1 species